UUUCUGUUCCAGCAGAGAUGUCGGCUUAUUUAUAGGAAUUGCUUGAAGCCAGAGUCAUGGUGGAUGUUGGAAAGUGGCCCAUCUUCACUCUACUCUCCCCUCAAGAGAUCGCGUCUAUUCGGAAGGCAUGUGUCUUUGGCACCUCAGCCAGUGAAGCACUGUACGUUACUGACAAUGAUGAGGUCUUUGUAUUUGGACUGAACUAUAGUAACUGUCUAGGAACUGGAGAUAACCAGAGUACACUUGUACCCAAAAAGCUAGAAGGCUUAUGUGGAAAGAAGAUUAAAAGCCUCAGUUACGGGAGUGGACCACAUGUUCUUCUCAGCACCGAAGAUGGAGUGGUUUAUGCCUGGGGCCACAAUGGAUAUAGCCAGCUUGGGAAUGGGACGACCAACCAAGGCAUUGCUCCCAUCCAGGUCUGUACCAAUCUCUUGAUCAAGCAAGUGGUGGAAGUGGCUUGUGGCUCACAUCAUUCAAUGGCUCUGGCAGCUGAUGGAGAGGUAUUUGCUUGGGGUUAUAACAACUGUGGCCAAGUGGGAUCAGGUUCUACAGCAAAUCAACCAACUCCUCGAAAAGUUACAAACUGUUUACAUAUUAAGAGGGUAGUUGGCAUUGCCUGUGGUCAGACUUCAUCCAUGGCUGUUCUGGACAAUGGCGAGGUAUAUGGCUGGGGUUACAAUGGCAACGGUCAGCUGGGCUUGGGAAACAAUGGCAACCAGCUGACCCCUGUGAGAGUGGCAGCUUUGCACAGCGUGUGUGUGAACCAGAUUGUCUGCGGCUAUGCACAUACUCUAGCACUAACAGAUGAGGGCUUGCUCUAUGCCUGGGGAGCUAACACAUAUGGGCAGCUGGGAACUGGCAAUAAAAAUAACCUGCUAAGCCCAGCACACAUCAUGGUGGAGAAAGAAAGGGUGGUAGAGAUUGCAGCCUGUCACUCUGCCCACACGUCUGCAGCCAAGACGCAGGGUGGGCACGUGUACAUGUGGGGCCAGUGCCGGGGUCAGUCCGUGAUCCUCCCGCACCUCACCCACUUCUCCUGCACCGACGACGUGUUCGCCUGCUUUGCCACUCCUGCCGUCUCGUGGCGCCUCCUGUCUGUGGAGCAUGAAGACUUUUUGACAGUUGCAGAAUCACUGAAGAAAGAAUUUGAUAGUCCAGAAACUGCCGAUCUGAAGUUUCGAAUUGAUGGAAAAUAUAUUCAUGUCCAUAAAGCUGUUUUGAAAAUCAGGUGUGAGCAUUUUCGAUCCAUGUUCCAGUCAUAUUGGAAUGAAGACAUGAAGGAAGUGAUAGAAAUCGACCAGUUUUCCUACCCAGUGUAUCGUGCCUUUCUCCAGUACCUCUACACAGACACGGUCGACCUGCCGCCAGAAGAUGCUAUAGGUCUUCUGGAUUUGGCGACAUCUUACUGUGAAAACAGACUGAAAAAGCUUUGUCAGCACAUUAUCAAGAGAGGAAUUACUGUGGAGAAUGCCUUUUCGCUAUUCUCUGCUGCAGUCAGAUAUGAUGCAGAGAGCUCAACUUGGGGAUACUAGAUGACUUUGCCUUCGUUCUGUGGGCCAAAAUGCUAGGAAGAUGGAAACUACCUGCUUCCAAUGUUUCUUCUCUUUCUACGAAAGUACCUGAGGUUCCUCCAUGCCCCCUUUUGACAAGAUAGCUUUGAAGCAAAUGUACACACAUUAAAGCAACAAAAAUGUAUGGACUCAGUCGUUACAGGGAGUUUCAAAAGAUUUAGAAGAAUUCUGCUUUAAGUUUUGCAUCAAUCAUUUGACAGAAGUUACACAGACUGCAGCAUUUUGGCAAAUGGAUGGCCCUCUGCUAAAGGAAUUCAUUGCUAAAGCCAGUAAAUGUGGAGCCUUUAAGAACUGAAGCGCAAGGCUGCUGGGUUCUGUGUGAGUGCUCUGGGGCACUGUUGAGGAUGUGUCCAGUUUGUGCUCUACGGGUGAUGUAAUUCUGCAGGUAAAAGACCAUCAGGUUGUGUUUUUCCACAUCUGGGACACAGUUGUCUGUGUAGGAACACAUCAAGGGUGUAUGGCUUUUCUUGAGCCCAUUUUAAACAACUCUUGUUUCCAGAUAAGUGUAUUUUAAAUGUGACCUUUCUUAAAUUUGGGCUGGAACAUGUAAAAGGGUGAAAGUUUACUCGUUUUUGGUCUUGUUUUCAUUUUUGAUUAGAGGAACUUCUGAACUUGGAAAGGGGAAGUUGGCAGCAACUCUCCUGGGCCACAUAUCAACAAUCUUCUGACAGCAGGAGCAGUGAUAGUUGGGGAAUUGUGAGAUGAAUGAGAGGCCCCAUCGUGAAUUAAAGAUGCUGACGUGGGGGAUUGUUAAGUGCUGCCCUAGUUGCUAGUUUAGUAGCCUUACUGUGAAGGAAUAAUUAAGAUUGUUUUAGACUUUUGUUUGUGUGCUUGCGUUGAUGACUUUUUUAACUUCAAGAUAUAUCAAAGUAAUAUUCAGUUUAACGUAUGUUAAACCUGUUGAAAUGAUAAUUAUGUAAAGAUAAAUUUUCUAGGUUAGUCAAGAUUUCUCUUAAGAUUUAAAUGCAUAAAGAAUAGUAAUUUAGAAGUAUCCGUGAAAAGUUGAUAAUGAAAGAAAUUUGAUGAAGGUGAAUAUUUUAUAAAUUAGAAUCUCCACUACUUAUCCAAUGGUGUUUUAUUUCAUUAAGGUAGAACUUGAGAACUCAAGUUUAAAUUGUCCCCCCCACUUUCUUCUAUAAAUGCAAACUUAAGAGGAAAAUAAUGACAUAUAUAGUAUACUCUUGCCUUCCUAAAUUAUGGCUGCUGAAUCAUCAUAUCUACUAUAUAUGACUGGAAGAAGUGGUUCUUCAAGUCAACCCACUUACAGGACUUAAUGGAAUUUGCUUUAUCUACUUUAGGCCAAAUCCAUCACACAUUGGCUUAUUUGAAACUUUAUCAUCUUUCACUUUUGGUUUUCCUCUGUUUUUAAACAUCUUAGGUAUAACAAUUAGCACAAUUUCACCUUGAAAAAGCACCAAAAUUAUGGUGUUCCUGAAAAGAUCCUAUUAAAAGACAGUAGUUUUUUUGAACUGGUUAUGGAAGGUGACUUUGGGAUGCAAGAGUGUUCAACUGUGAGUUUCAUCAUGUGUGUCCGUUGAGCUUGCUUUAAGAGCAAUGUUUUGCUUUGCUCUCUGGUCCAUGAACUCAUUUCCGUUUGAGUGAGCUCCCUUAGUGAAUUUUGUCUCCUGCUUGGAAAGUCUCUCUUCUGAACCUGGAGCCUGAAUACAUUUUCAGAGCCAAAUUACAAGUGGGUGAAGACAUGCUGCAGCUGCUAUUUUUAGCAAUGUUUUUAAAUUUGUGUCUAUUGGGGUGGGAAGGAGAGUGAGGCCCCAAAGAUAGGAAUUCAUUGAUAGCUGAAAUAGAUACAAGCCUAGUAGCCCCAGCCCCCUUUUCUUGACCAUAUCACAAGUGAUUGAAGCCCAGUGAAUUAUUCGGUUAGAAUUCGUUCUACAACAUGAUAGAACUUUUCUUACUAGGUUCAGAAAUGCACAUUGAUUUGUGCUACGAUGGGUGGUGUUUGUAACAAUCACUGUUCUAUAUAGGCUUAUGGUCGGAGCAAAAUGUGAACUUCAGUAUGUUUACUAUUGCUCUUACUUGAAAAUUUUUUUUCAAAAAAGGCACAAAUUCAAGUAGAAAUUCAUAUCCAUAGAUAGUUCAUUCAUUCAACAAAUAUUUACCAAGUUCCUAAUAUAAGUGAAGGACCACUUCUCAUAUUAGAUUACUAAGUCAUUUGUAUGAGUAUGUGUGGCAGUGAAGAGAACAGGUCUUUCAAAAAGCAUUUGAUUAUCUUUAUUUUUUUUUUAAAUACACUCUCUUAUUUUUCUACUUGGUUUUUUGUUAAUCAUAGCAGGAUAUGACAACUCUUAUUUGAAUUGAUUUUUUUCAUCUAAUAUAAUAAUGGAAGCCAAAGUAUUCAUAUUUCUUAAGAUAGCCCUAAAUGUACUCUUGAACUUCUUACUGGAACAAUGUUUGAUACUCUAGUAUAUAAACUAUUUAUGUAAUAUUUAGAAUGACAUGUUAAUAAACAAAGUAACAUUAAAACAGG